UACAGAGGGUGCGAGCGUUAAUCGGAAUUACUGGGCGUAAAGCGCACGUAGUCGGCUUUGCAAGUCGGGUGUGAAAGCCCUGGGCUCAACCCAGGAAGUGCACACGAAACUGAUCGGCUUGAAUAUGGAAGAGGGUUGCGGAAUUCCCGGUGUAGAGGUGAAAUUCGUAGAUAUCGGGAGGAACACCAGUGGCGAAGGCGGCAACCUGGGCCAAUAUUGACGCUGAGGUGCGAAAGCGUGGGGAGCAAACAGG
rnacentral:rRNA from 1 species